GCUUGUCUCAAAGAUUAAGCCAUGCAUGUCUAAGUAUAAAUGCUAUACAAUGAAACUGCGAAUGGCUCAUUAAAACAGUUAUAGUUUAUUUGGUAAUACACUUACAUGGAUAACCGUGGUAAUUCUAGAGCUAAUACAUGCUGUUAAGCCUGACUUCUUGAAGGGCUGUAUUUAUUAGAUAACAGACCAAUAUUCCUCGUGUGUAUUGUGGUGACUCAUAGUAACUGAUCGGAUCGCACGGGCUUGCCCACGACAAACCAUUCAAGUUUCUGCCCCAUCAGCUUUCGAUGGUAGUGUAUUGGACUACCAUGGCUUUUACUGGCAACAUCAAAUGAAUUUAAAUUAUCUGAGAAGGAGCCUGAGAAACGGCUACCACAUCUAAGGAAGGCAGCAGG
rnacentral:rRNA from 1 species